GACGAACGCUGGCGGCGUGCCUAAUACAUGCAAGUCGAACGCAGUGGGGACUGGUGAGUAACACGUGGGUAACCUCCCAUCAGAGGGGAUAACACUUGGAAACAGGUGCUAAACCGAUACUGCUGGAUGGACCCGCGGUGCAUUAGCUGGUUGGUGAGGUAACGGCUCACCAAGGCGACGAUCCGUAGCUGGUUUGAGAGGAUGACCAGCCACACUGGGACUGAGACACGGCCCAGACUCCUACGGGAGGCAGCAGUGGGGAAUGUUGGACAAUGGGGGAAAGCCUGAUCCAGCCAUCCCGCGUGUGCGAUGAAGGCCUUCGGGUUGUAAAGCACUUUUGGCAGGAAAGCGGUACCUGCAGAAUAAGCACCGGCUAACUACGUGCCAGCAGCCGCGGUAAUAC
rnacentral:rRNA from 1 species